AGGUAUGGGAAGGUUGGCUCUAUUUCACUUCCACUUCCUGAGAUGACCGCCUGGAUUAACCCACCCUGAAUUUCAAAGAUUUCCCAGGGCUACUACCGGGGGAGGGGGCAUGGGGCAGAUGCACUGAGCUUGCAAACCAACUCUCUGAGGGGCAGGGUGUUCUCACAGUGACUUGGACAGAGAUUCCUUCUCCUCAGGACACACCCAGAAGAGGCCGUUGUUUUAGGGUACCUGGGGAACCUAUGGCCACGUUCAUGGUGCAGACUAAUGCUACUUCAUUUCAGGACCCACCCAACAGUGGCCUCAGCUUGGGGACAUCUGGAGUCGCAUCCACCAUGAGGAC
rnacentral:lncRNA from 1 species